GUACUCUGGGUGACUCAGAGAGGGAAGAGAUUCAGCCAGCACACUCCUCGCGAGCAAGCAUUACUCUACUGACUGGCAGAGACAGGAGCAGUAGAUGUCCACGCCCACAGACCCUGGCGCGAUGCCCCACCCAGGGCCUUCGCCGGGGCCUGGGCCUUCCCCUGGGCCAAUUCUUGGGCCUAGUCCGGGACCAGGGCCAUCCCCAGGUUCCGUCCACAGCAUGAUGGGGCCAAGUCCUGGACCUCCGAGUGUCUCCCAUCCUAUGCCGACGAUGGGGUCCACAGACUUCCCACAGGAAGGCAUGCAUCAAAUGCAUAAGCCCAUCGAUGGUAUACAUGACAAGGGGAUUGUAGAAGACAUCCAUUGUGGAUCCAUGAAGGGCACUGGUAUGCGACCACCUCACCCAGGCAUGGGCCCUCCCCAGAGUCCAAUGGAUCAACACAGCCAAGGUUUGUGUCCGCUGCCCACCUGAUACUGGUUCCCCAGCAUAGUCUUUCAGUCCUUCCUGUUGGAUAUUUUAAUUAUGAAUUCCAAAGAAUGUGUCUAAGGAAGAUUG
rnacentral:sRNA from 1 species